AAAUGAAAAAUCAGGAUGUUUUACAUGUUGAAAAUGUCAAAAUGGGACAUUUCAUCUUUUUCACUUCAGGGGGAGGAAGAAGACAAGACUAUGCUGGUAUGCAAAAGCAGUGCUGAAUAACCUUAGAAAGGAGGUCUGCUCCUGCAUCCCAUUUCCCACUGAAAUUGGAGGAAGGAGUUUGGUCAGCCCAACAUCCAGGAGUUCACCAACACAGUGGCUUUCCAAGCAGUUGGGUGGACACACGGAACCAACCAGUCCCAUUCUGGCAUGCGCCUGAGAUCUCCCUAGCAACAAAGAUGACAGCUUGAAAUUAAAUGGCUUCAACUACUAAAAUCCAUAAACACGCUGCCAGCUUGGUGGAGAGCCAUCUAAAGUACAACUGAGAGACCCUUGGAGAUGACCACUGGAGAAUCUUGAACACCUGCAUGAAUCCUGUUUCUACAGAUUGGGAGCCGCAUCCACAGCUCCAGGAAGACAUCUCCAAGGAGUGGUUUGUGUGUCUCUUGAAGUACUUCAAGAUGACAGAAGAGAGACACUUCCAAUUGCACGAGCUGAAAUAACUGACUUACUCUUCACUUGUAAGAGUGAAUUUAAGAUUCAAUGAUAUCAACGCUUACAUUGGCCAAGGAAAAAGCAGGAGCUGUAGUUCUUGGCAAGGCAGAACAGUGACACUUCCCAUCCAAGGCACAUCCAUGUAAACGGGCAAAUUGAAUCCAACUGCAUGAGGUUAUUCUUGUACAGCGAUAAGUAGUCAGCAGCACUAUACAGCAUAGCCCUACAUUUCCUUAUUUACACACCAGUAGCCAUUCCAGCUACCUUAGAAAGUGAAUUGAGAUUUUACAGGGAGAUAAUGUUAUCAUGUCA